GUCCUGGGUUAUAUAAAAUAGUGAGUGGAGUAAGCCAUAAAGCAAGCCAAUAAACACCGUUCCUCAAUGGCCUAUUUCAGUUUCCGCCUUGAAGUUCCUGCCCUGACUUCCCUUUGACGAUGGACUGUGAUCUGGGUUGCAUGAACCUGGACGUGAUGGGGGGUGCUACCAGACCUGGAUAUCUCCCUUAACUCUUACAAUCCUCACUGACGCUGCAAGUGGAUGGGACAGGAGAAACAAGAGGACGAAGAAAGGAGGUGAUAAAUGAGAAACCGAAGAAAGAAGGAAGAUUGAGAAGACACGGAGAGAGGAAGGGAGGAAGAAAGCAUUAGGGAAGGGCAAAGGCAGUUCAGCAAGCAGAGAGCACAGACCCUGCACGCCUCUUCUCAGAAGAAGGCUCUUGGUAGCUUUCCAUGCCUUUAUUUAUCUCCCCCAGCCUUGCACGAAAGCUGUGUGACCCACCACUUCUAUAUUUCAGUCUGCUCCCUGAGUAUCAGGAAGGGUUAAGACCCACACACCAGGGCAGAAUAGAGCUUGUUUACUGCAAGAUUCAUGUCUGGUCCUGCAAGGUAUUUCCUCUGUCGCCCCACAACCCUGAUGAAAGGGAAUACGGAUGCUGCACCAAGGGCAAGGUCACGGUGAGGCAUGCAAAUUGGCGUUGUGGGGGCGGAUUGCAUCGGGAAGGCAGCUUCUCUACCCCCACGCACGUCUGGAUCACGCCUGCCCAGAUGAGAAAGGACGUGAAGGCCUCCACCUGAUGCUGGUGUGCUUUUCUGGGCUCCCCAGCCUGCAGAACUGUGAGCCAAAUAAACGUCUGAUUUAUAAAUUA